CGGUCGCGUAACACGUAGGCAACCUGCCCGAGAGACCGGGACAACGCUUCGAAAGCGGUGCUAAUACCGGAUGGGGCCGGAGGGAGACAUCUCCUUCCGAUUAAACCCCGCAAGGGGCUCUUGGAGGGGCCUGCGGCCUAUCAGCUAGAUGGUGGGGUAACGGCCUACCAUGGCGACGACGGGUAGCUGGUCUGAGAGGAUGGUCAGCCGGAUUGGGACUGAGAUACGGCCCAG
rnacentral:rRNA from 1 species